rnacentral:tRNA from 1 species
UCCGCCAUAGCUCAGCUGGUAGAGCAUGACUGUUAAUCAUGAUGUCGUAGGUUCGAGUCCUACUGGCGGAG